UGUUCCUGGAAGAUACCCGUAGCCUGC
rnacentral:piRNA from 1 species